rnacentral:rRNA from 1 species
AUGGUGCAGCGCUUUAUAAUGGACAUGGACUACUCAGCGGUAGGGCUGCAACAAUACAUAGCUCCCAUAUCUUCCCAUAAACCCAUGGCGCAUUGCCCUCAUCUCCGCUCGCCGGCGCCGGCGACACUUCCACCGCCACCGUCAUCCACCAUGAACGCUCUCCAGCUCCCCUUUCAACCACUCAAGCCGUCGUCAAUCUUAAACACCACCACCUUAAAGGGCCUUUUUGCCACGGCUCUGAACCUGCUUGAGGACCGCGUGAUCGUCCCGCUCGAGGCGAGGAGGCAACUACCCAGCUGCGUCGACCCGGCUGUGCAGCUCGCCGGCAACUUCGCGCCCGUGCAGGAGAUGCCGUCCCCGCUGCGGAACCUGGGUGUCACCGGCGAGAUCCCGCCCGCUCUGCUCGGCGGCGUGUACGUACGUAACGGCGCGAACCCACUACUCCCGCCGACGGCAGGGCACCACCUCUUCGACGGCGACGGGAUGCUCCACGUGGUGUCGCUGCCGUCAUCUUCGUCUUUGGCGCCGUCGGGGGCAUCUUACACGCGUCGGUUCACGCGCACCAGCCGGCUCGCGCAGGAGGAGGCGCUGGGCCGGUGUGCGUUCCCAAAGGCCAUCGGCGAGCUUCACGGCGGCGCGGGCCUCGCCCGGCUCGCUCUCUUCGGCCUCCGCGCGGCUGCCGGCGUCGUUGAUGUCAGAAACGGCGCCGGCGCUGCAAACGCCGGGCUCGUCUACUUUGGUGACCGUCUCCUCGCGCUAUCUGAGGACGACCUGCCGUAUCACGUGCACGUCGGCAGCGGCGGUGACCUGAGCACCGUAGGCCGGUUGGACUUCGCCGGGCAGCUGCGCUCCCCAAUGAUCGCGCACCCGAAGGUCGACCCCGUCACCGGGGAACUCUUCGCGCUGAGCUACGACCCCGUGAGGAGGCCGUACCUGCGGUACUUCCACGUGGACCCGGCCACCGGCGAGAAGUCCCGCGAUGUGGAGGUGGCACUCCGGCAGCCGACGAUGGUGCACGACUUUGCCGUCACCGAGACCUUCACCGUGAUCCCCGACCAGCAGGUGGUGUUCGACAUGGGCCGGAUGCUACGUGGCGGCUCGCCGCUCGUGCACGACGCCGGGAAGGUCUCCCGCUUCGGCCUACUCCCGCGGUAUGACUCGGACGAUUCCCGGAUGCGGUGGUUUGACGUGCCGGACUGCUUCUGCUUCCACGUCUGGAAUGCAUGGGAGGAGACCGACCACGCCGGCGACGGGCCGGACACCGUCGUCAUCAUUUGCUCCUGCAUGACGCCGCCUGACGCGCUCUUCUCGGAAGCCGCCGCCGAUGCCACGGCGAACUUGCGCGCCACCCUGACCGAGAUCCGGCUGGACCUCCGGACGGGGAUGUCGCGGCGGCGUGAGCUUGCCUCGGGGCUGAGCCUGGAGGCCGGCACUGUGAACCGGACCCUGCUGGGGCGGCGGACGCGGUACGCGUACCUCGCCAUCGCGGAGCCGUGGCCGCGGUGCCGGGGCGUGGCCAAGGUGGACCUGGCGACCGGUGAGGCUGUCGCGGUGCAUCAGUACGGCACCGGGCGGUUCGGCGGCGAAGCGUCGUUCGUGCCGGCGGCUGACGAUGAUGAGAGGGAGGACGAGGGGCACGUGGUGGUGAUGGUGCACGAUGAGGCGGCGAGCACGUCAGAGCUGGCCGUGCUAGACGCGGUCACCAUGGAGGCGGUGACAACGGUGGCGCUGCCGUGCCGCGUGCCCUACGGCUUCCAUGGCGCGUUCCUCACUAGAGACCAGCUCGCCACUCAGAGGACUUUUAUCUCCUAG